rnacentral:rRNA from 1 species
GACGAACCACACAAACGUUAUCCGGAAUUACUGGGCUUAAAGGGUGCGUAGGCGGCGCGGAAAGUAGGGUGUGAAAUCCCUCGGCUCAACCGAGGAAUUGCGCCCUAAACUACCGUGCUCGAGGGAGAUAGAGGUGAGCGGAACUUAGGGUGGAGCGGUGAAAUGCGUUGAUAUCCUAAGGAACACCGGUGGCGAAAGCGGCUCACUGGAUCUCUUCUGACGCUGAGGCACGAAAGCUAGGGUAGCGAACGGG